GGUGAGCAGCGCGAGGCGGCCGGCCCGUGCGCUGCGGUGACGUCACGCUGCGAAGCGCGCGACCGAGGUCUCGCGGAGUCUCUGCGGAAAGCACCUGCUCCAUCUGCUGCGAAUGGUCCGUCUCCCGUGCCAAACAACUACAGACAGUCUCGGCUUGCUGACCGCCUUCUUCGUACCACGGAGAGCUGCGACCGAUCGCCUGGAGACGGAAUUUAACUCAACCUCCUUUUCAUGGGCGAAGGACAAAAUAUUGCAGCAUUUCCCCAGCAGGGAGUGGAAUGCGUUUCAUGUAUUUAAUGCAGAAUUCUUCUUUUGUGUCCAACUGUAGAAAAAAUGCACUUUCGGAUAAUGGACAGGUCUUUGCCCCAGCUCAGUGCCACAUGGGCCACACUAAACAUCUGAUCAGGUGCGAAGGCACCUUCCAGUUUCAUUUGCAUAU